AUGUUUGGUACGGAUCUAUGCCCUGACAACUUGUGGCAGGCAUAUGCUUGGUGUUAUACUUUCUUUCCAGGUGGCGAUGUUUUCUAUACGGUUGGCAUUGCAGCUUUGUGUUGGGCUAUUUGGACUUGCCGCAACCGAGCUACUUUUGAGCAUAUUCCUCUCAAAACCCCAUUUGAAUGUAUUUUCGCUGCAUGUGCACUUCUUUGUUACUGGGCAGGACUGACGAAACAGGAGGAUGCUGAGAAGCUGAGAGUUGGUGGAGCUCUGCUGAAGGACAGUGCGUCUCGUAUGAUGAGGAUCUGCGCAACGGCGCACCAGGGAUGA
rnacentral:rRNA from 1 species